rnacentral:tRNA from 1 species
UCUAAUGUGGCAGAAUAGUGCGUUGGAGUUAAGCCCCAAACAUAAAGUUCAACCUUUUUUUAGAA